rnacentral:lncRNA from 1 species
UGCGAAGAAGAGGCACAUGCCAGAGCCAUCUUCUUCUUUUUCUUCUUCCCUUUAGUUUAGAACAAAGUAUUCAACAACUAGGGAAAAGAAAACCAGAAAACCAAGUUGAGCUAAUAAGACUGGGAAACUGAAUUUGUUCCAGAUUGUGUUUGAGUUAUGGGGAAUGAAUUAGAGAGAAAUGCAGAGCGGUGGAGAGAGUGGAGGAGGAAGAAAGAGUGAGAUGCUUAAUGGUUUUGUUCUCU